rnacentral:rRNA from 1 species
AGGACGAACGCUGGCGGCGUGCUUAACACAUGCAAGUCGAGCGAGAUCCAUCUCGUGGCAACACGAGGGAAGAUCUAGCGGCGAACGGGUGAGUAACACGUGAGAAACCUGCCCUGAAGUCUGGGAUAACCCGAGGAAACUCGAGCUAAUACCGGAUGUCUUCCAACAGUCGCAUGGCUGAUGGAAGAAAGAUUUAUCGCUUCAGGAGGGUCUCGCGGCCUAUCAGCUUGUUGGCGGGGUAACGGCCCACCAAGGCGUCGACGGGUAGCUGGUCUGAGAGGACGAUCAGCCACACUGGGACUGAGACACGGCCCAGACUCCUACGGGAGGCAGCAGUGGGGAAUAUUGCGCAAUGGGCGAAAGCCUGACGCAGCAACGCCGCGUGCGGGAUGAAGGCCUUCGGGUUGUAAACCGCUUUCGAGUGGGGACGAAUUGACGGUACCCACAGAAGAAGCCCCGGCCAACUACGUGCCAGCACGCCGCGGUAA